UGGGGAAUUUUGGACAAUGGGGGAAACCCUGAUCCAGCCAUCCCGCGUGUGCGAUGAAGGCCUUCGGGUUGUAAAGCACUUUUGGCAGGAAAGAAACGUCAUGGGUUAAUACCCCGUGAAACUGACGGUACCUGCAGAAUAAGCACCGGCUAACUACGUGCCAGCAGCCGCGGUAAUACGUAGGGUGCAAGCGUUAAUCGGAAUUACUGGGCGUAAAGCGUGCGCAGGCGGUUCGGAAAGAAAGAUGUGAAAUCCCAGAGCUCAACUUUGGAACUGGAUUUGUAACUACCGGGCUAGAGUGUGUCAGAGGGAGGUGGAAUUCCGCGUGUAGCAGUGAAAUGCGUAGAUAUGCGGAGGAACACCGAUGGCGAAGGCAGCCUCCUGGGAUAACACUGACGCUCAUGCACGAAAGCGUGGGGAGCAAACAGG
rnacentral:rRNA from 1 species